CCUCUUCUUCUUGGUGGGGUCGGGCGUGUGGUCUGGUCCCCGUAAUGUGCAGAGGCAGAAUGGGAGGGCUCCGGGCCCCAGGAGUCACGUCUUUGGUGCCUAUGAUUUCCAAUCCGCCAGUUCUGAACUCAAGUGCUGGGACACAG